GUAGUGUUGGCCGAGUGGUUAAGGCGUGUGACUUAAGAUCACAUAGGGAUUCCCUACACGGGUUCGAAUCCCGUACACUACG